UACAGGAGGGUGCGAGCGUUAAUCGGAAUUACUGGGCGUAAAGCGUGCGUAGACGGUUAUUUAAGUCUGUUGUGAAAGCCCCGGGCUCAACCUGGGAAUGGCAAUGGAUACUGGCGAGCUAGAGUGUGUCAGAGGAUGGUGGAAUUCCCGGUGUAGCGGUGAAAUGCGUAGAGAUCGGGAGGAACAUCAGUGGCGAAGGCGGCCAUCUGGGACAACACUGACGCUGAGGCACGAAAGCGUGGGGAGCAAACAGG
rnacentral:rRNA from 1 species